rnacentral:tRNA from 1 species
GUCCCCGUAGCUCAGCAGGAUAGAGCGCAGGAUUCCUAAUCCUGAGGUCGUGGGUUCGAAUCCCGCCGGGGACGCCA